rnacentral:rRNA from 1 species
CAGAUGCAGAUAAAAAGCUCAUAUCGGAAUUCCCAUUAUGAAUGUACUGGGUAUCCGGUCCAUUGAUAAUCCUCCACAUGAGAACCUAUCUCGGCUUUCACUGGUGAGUUCCGGGAUCAUGUAUUUAACUGACAAAAAAUCAGUGUGUUUCAGGCAGGCGUUUGCUGAAUACACAAGCAUGGAAUAAUGGAAUAGGACUUUGGUCCUAUUUUGUUGGUUUGAUAGAACCGAAGUAAUGAUAAAGAGAGACAGUCGGGGGCAUUUGUAUGGCUGCGCUAGAGGUGAAAUUCGUGGACCGUAGCCAGACAAACUAAAGCGAAAGCAUCUGCCAAGUAUGUUUUCAUUUACCAGGAGCGAAAGUCAGAGGUUCGAAGACGAUCAGAUACCGUCCUAGUUCUGACCAUAAACGAUGCCAACUGACGAUCCGUGGUAGUUCUUUAUAUGAGCCCACGGGCAGUCUCUGGGAAACCUGUAAGUCUAUGGGUUCCGGGGAAAGUAUGGUUGCAAAACUGAAACUUAAAGGAAUUGACGGAAGGGCACCACCAGGAGUGGAGCUUGCGGCUUAAUUUGACUCAACACGGGAAAACUCACCCGACCCGGACACCAUGAUGAUUGACAGAUUGAAAGCUCUUUCUUGAUUUGGUGGCUAGUGGUGCAUGGCCGUUCUUAGUUCGUGGUACGAGCUGUCUGGUUAAUUCCGAUAACGAACGAGACUCUAACCUGCUAAAUAGUACGGUUGCAAUGUUAUAUGGGUUUCAAUUCUUUACUUCGGUAUUUUAUUGAUCCCAUAUAAGCAGGUGAAACUUCUUAGAGGGACUGGCACUUUACUAUAAAGUGCACGAGAAAGAGCAAUAACAGGUCUGUGAUGCCCUAAGAUGUCCGGGGCCGCACGCGUGCUACAAUGACGGUGCUAGUGAGCAUGAUUAACCUGGCUCGAAAGAGUUGGGAAAACUGUUCAAUCAUCGUCGUUACUGGGAUUGGGGUUUGCAAUUAUCCCCCAUGAACGAGGAAUUCCUAGUAAGCACAAGUCAUAAGCUUGUGCUGAUUACGUCCCUGCCCUUUGUACACACCGCCCGUCGCUACUACCGAUUGAAUGGUUUAGCAAGGUUAUUGGAUUGGUUUAUUGCAGUUUACACUGUUUUAAGCUAAGAAGAUGACCGAACUUGAUCAUUUAGAGGAAGUAAAAGUCGUAACAAGGUUUCCGUAGGU